GUUUUUAACUCAAGUGGCGGACGGGUGAGCCAUAGAUGAGAAUUUGCCUUUAGGAGGGGGAUAACAACUGGAAUCGGUUGCUAAUACCCCAUAUGCUUUCGAGUGAAAUGGAUUUUUCCGCCUAAAGAGAAGCUUGCGGCUGAUUAGCUUGUUGGUAAGGUAAUGGCUUACCAAGGCGACGAUCAGUAUCUGGUUUGAGAGGACGAUCAGACACACUGGAACUGAGACACGGUCCAGACUCCUACGGGAGGCAGCAGUGGGGAAUUUUCCGCAAUGGGCGAAAGCCUGACGGAGCAAUACCGCGUGAGGGAUGACGGCCUAUGGGUUGUAAACCUCUUUUUUCAGGGAGGAAUCAAUGACGUGUACCUGAAGAAUAAGCAUCGGCUAACUCCGUGCCAGCAGCCGCGGUAAGACGGAGGAUGCAAGUGUUAUCCGGAAUCACUGGGCGUAAAGCGUCUGUAGGUGGUCAAAUAAGUCAACUGUUAAAUCUUGAGGCUCAACCUCAAAAUCGCAGUCGAAACUAUUAGACUAGAGUAUAGUAGGGGUAAAGGGAAUUUCCAGUGGAGCGGUGAAAUGCGUAGAGAUUGGAAAGAACACCGAUGGCGAAGGCACUUUACUGGGCUAUUACUAACACUGAGAGACGAAAGCUAGGGUAGCAAAUGGGAUUAGAUACCCCAGUAGUCCUAGCCGUAAACAAUGGAUACUAGAUGUUGAA
rnacentral:rRNA from 1 species